GAUGAACGCUAGCUACAGGCUUAACACAUGCAAGUCGAGGGGCAGCAUGGUCUUAGCUUGCUAAGGCCGAUGGCGACCGGCGCACGGGUGAGUAACGCGUAUCCAACCUGCCUUACACUCUUGGACAGCCUUCUGAAAGAAAGAUUAAUACCCGAUGGUAUAAUUAGACCGCAUGGUCUUGUUAUUAAAGAAUUUCGGUUAUCGAUGGGGAUGCGUUCCAUUAGGCAGUUGGUGAGGUAACGGCUCACCAAACCUUCGAUGGAUAGGGGUUCUGAGAGGAAGGUCCCCCACAUUGGAACUGAGACACGGUCCAA
rnacentral:rRNA from 1 species